GUUUGCAAUUAUUUCUACUUCCGGUGGGAAAUUAAGAAUAAAACGCCCCGCGCCCGCGCCAUUUCUCUUCCAUUAACAUUUCGUCUGUUCUCAGGGUAAGUCGAUUUACAUUUAUUAUUAAUUAUUGGUCUCGUAUUGUACUUGAGUGAAUAAUGAUUUGAAUUUUAUUGUUUUCUUUAUAUAGGUAUUUUACAAACUUACAAUUAAAUAUAUUACUUUACGUAAUUACAAAAAGUACCGGUGACUUCAUAUUCAUGACGAUUUAUUCUUUUGUUUUUUUUCAACGAUUUGUUUUAAUGAAAAAAGUUAUGUCUGAUGUUUAAUGCUUUGUUUUUUUUUAAUGUUCAUUCAUCGUUUUCAGUAACUUUUCGAUAACUCCGAGAUUCUACGUGACUUCGUGCCUCUCAACAUGUUCCAAGCAUCUUCUAGCAACAACGGCGGCAGCUCAGCGGCAAUGGCGUGCAUCGCUACCGAUCGCAGAAGACGGACAAACAACACAAAAUAAUAGGUUUAAUAUGACAACAUUAAAUCACAAGUUAAGUAUAUUAUAUUUGUUUGGCAUAAUUCCUGUUUGUCUAAAAAGGAGCAUUAAAAAAACAUUAUAUCCUGAUUAAGUUUAGAUAACAAAAGUAUGGAUGCAAAACUCUCAAUAAAUUUAAAAAAGUGUAUUAAAACGUUUAAAAUGAUUGCCAGUGAUAAAAAAUGAGGAUAAUCAAAUAUUUUAUAAAUGUUUUUUUUUUCAGAAACGCCACAAUUGAUUCCCAGUAGAAAUAGGAAAAUAUAAAAGACCAGUUUCAUCCAUAGGAAGAAAGAUACUACUUAUUUUACCAAUAAAAGGACUUGAGGGCAAAAUAUUUUACAUAUUAGGUACAUAUAAAGUUUUGAUGAAGAAUUUUGAUGAGAAAAAAUAUCAAAAAUGCCACAAAUUACUCUAUAACAUAAAGACAGUUUCAUCAGGAGGAGGAAUGACACAACCAAUAAAAGGAAUAAUUGAAGUCAAAAUAAUUAAACAUAUAUAAAACAGGCUUUGUAUCAGUACAAAAUGGAAUCACCACCAGACGCGCCAGGUGCUCAAAGCAGCGUUACUAAGAAGAAACACGUGAAAGCACUAAACAGACCACCAUCGUGCUCCGUGGCUUUAUCCGCAUUGCUAGGCUCCUAUUGGUCUUAGCACGAUGUUAUCUAAUAUGUAUGUUUAGCCUAUAAGAUGUUAAUCCGACCGGUUAAUAUAUUAUAUAUUCAAAAUUUUAUGUUUAUCUAUGCACUAUUGUUUGCGUCUAGCCCGGGGUGGGGUAGCAUAUUUUUUGCUUCGAUUAUUAUUUUGUAAAUUGCACCCAAAAAAUAUUCAAGUGUAUUUUCCUACGUUUUUUUAUGUAUAGAUUUUAUUUAAGUUGUAUGUUAUUCGUUUUUUUGUUAUUUUGAUUUUGUAUAAAUUUAUACCUAUAGAUUUUCUUUAAAAAUGAAAAAAUGUAUUACUGUUACCAUAAGUUGAAUAAUAUAGUCAUGUUAAUAAAAUCAUUUUAGUUUAAA